AGAAAGAAAGAAAGAAACAACAAAACAAGCAAGAAACAAGACACGAUUGGGACUUUUUGUGACACGCGGUGUGACAUUGUUGUUGUUUUCCA
rnacentral:ribozyme from 15 species